AACGCACCUUGCGCCCUCUGGUAUUCUGGAGGGCAUGCCUGUUUGAGUGUCAUUGAAAACAUCAACCCCACGCGGCGUCGCUCGCCGUGGGGCUUUGGAAUGUGAGGGGUGUGCUGGCGAGGGGGCAAAUGGUGCCCCGCUCGCUCGGCUCCCUUGAAAUGUGUUAGCGCAGUCUCGUAGCUGGGCUGGCUCUCGGUAUGAUAAGCUCAUUGCCUGUGCCGUUGCCGCCUGCCAUGGAUGCGCUCCCAGUCGUCCCACCUCGGGGGACUGCUCGCCGUUUGGGCACUUUGAAGCUUGACCUCAAAUCAGGUAGGACUACCCGCUGAACUUAA
rnacentral:misc_RNA from 1 species